rnacentral:rRNA from 1 species
UACGGAGGGGGGCUAGCGUUUGUUCGGAAUUACUGGGCGUAAAGCGCACGUAGGCGGCUUUGUAAGUUAGGGGUGAAAGCCUGGGGCUCAACUCCAGAAUUGCCUUUAAGACUGCAUCGCUUGAAUCGCGGAGAGGUGAGUGGAAUUCCGAGUGUAGAGGUGAAAUUCGUAGAUAUUCGGAAGAACACCAGUGGCGAAGGCGGCUCACUGGACGCGUAUUGACGCUGAGGUGCGAAAGCGUGGGGAGCAAAGCAGG